GAUGAACGCUAGCGGCAGGCCUAAUACAUGCAAGUCGAACGGAUAUAUGUUUUUCGGAAUAUAUAUUAGUGGCGCACGGGUGAGUAACACGUACAUAACUUGCCCUCAAGCGGGGGAUAGCCUUGGGAAACUGAGAGUAAUACCCCAUAGAAUUAUUGGACGGCAUCGUUUGAUAAUUAAAACUACGGUGCUUGGGGAUAGAUGUGCGUCUGAUUAGCUAGUUGGUGAGGUAACUGCUCACCAAGGCGACGAUCAGUAGGGGGCGUGAGAGCGUGGCCCCCCACACGGGUACUGAGACACGGACCCGACUCCUACGGGAGGCAGCAGUAAGGAAUAUUGGUCAAUGGAGGGAACUCUGAACCAGCCAUGCCGCGUGAAGGAUGACGGCCCUCUGGGUUGUAAACUUCUUUUGGAUGGGACGAAAAACGGGAUUUAUCCUGGACUGACGGUACCAUCAGAAUAAGCACCGGCUAACUCCGUG
rnacentral:rRNA from 1 species